rnacentral:rRNA from 1 species
UGAGGGAAUAUUGGGUCAAUGGGCGAGAGCCUGAACCAGCCAAGUCGCGUGAAGGAAGAAGGAUCUAUGGUUCGUAAACUUCUUUUUAUGGGAAUAAAGUCAUGGACGCGUCCGUGUUUGUAUGUACCAUAAGAAUAAGCAUCGGCUAACUCCGUGCCAGCAGCCGCGGUAAUACGGAGGAUGCGAGCGUUAUCCGGAUUUAUUGGGUUUAAAGGGUGCGUAGGCGGGCGAUCAAGUCAGCGGUAAAAUUGUGUGGCUUAACCAUACCGAGCCGUUGAAACUGGUUGUCUUGAGUGCGAGUGAGGUAGGCGGAAUGUGUUGUGUAGCGGUGAAAUGCUUAGAUAUGACACAGAACACCGAUUGCGAAGGCAGCUUACCAAUACGUAACUGACGCUGAGGCACGAAAGCGUGGGUAUCGAACAGGAUUAGAUACCCUGGUAGU